UCCUGUUGUAUCAUCCCAAAUAAAUCGCGGAAGUUAGCGGGAAAUAAUUCUCUGGGGUAGUCUUGUUUGCUGUCAAUGUCGACGGUUCCAGAAAUAAGGUCACUCUUUGUGUCACUAGCAUCUGAACUGAAGUCCAUAAGUCCGGCGACCGGAAAUGAAGCUCCGAAUAUGGACCUCACUAUCACAAAUCUCAACCGUUCGCUUAACCUCUCCGAAACAGUUCCUAGAGUUAGGGUUUUGGACACUGCCCUUUCCGUUAUGUGCUUCACAUCAUCCCAGGUCUUUAACUAUACAAUCGAGUACUUGGUGAAGACGAUUGCUACAGUGCUAUCUUCUUCAAUUGAAUGCAAGGUUCUUAGAACUGCUGACGGGGAGGUUCUGCAAAUUGGUGGAUUGAUUUCUGGUCAGGAUUGUACCAGAAUAGUUGAAUCUUGUGCUGAUGUUCUGCAGAAACUUGGAAGAUCUCAACAUCUUUCUCCAAUCAUCUUGUAUGCUGCUGUGAGGGUGGCAGUACUAGCAUCAAGAGUUCACUAUUCACUGAAAUUGCCUCCUAUGCUUGACGUAAGAUCCAUUGAUGGAAGACACUGUGCUUUGCUGAAACAGGUACAUUGUCAAAAGGAAAUUAACAUUGAGAGUGGAAAAAUUCCGCUAAGGUUGCUCUCAUGGCAACUAGAUCACAUGCUUCUGAAGUAUGAUGUAUCGCAAAUUUUGCAAGAGGUCAUUAAGAGACCUUUCCUUUGUUUAGAAAUGGAAUUUUGUAAGAGGAAAGAGUGGCGUUCAAUUGUCAUAUGUUUGGUACAUUCUCCUGUCAUGUUUACUGAGACUAGAUCCCUGUUGCAUAACUGGUUUCUACUGACGGGUUUGGCUUCUAUUCUAGAGCUUCAUGUUAAGCUGGUCUCCCUAGUGCUAGAUAUUAUUUCCAGACCGAUGUGGUGGGGCAUAUCAAUGGACAUUGGAUCAAAACUUCCAUUUUCUUAUUCUUACUUUCCAUGCAAGAAGCAGAUUUUGAGGAUUUUGACUGGACCUUUGUCCUUGGAAUCUUUGGAGUUUCUAGUUGAUGAAGUUUGCAAGCCAGUUGAAGCAUUUUCAAAUAAAGCUGUGAACAUUGCCAAAGUAAAUCAGAGUUCUAUUUGGGCAAUUACAGUAACUUUCCCUUCUUGGUUCAUUUUCGCUUCUAUUUUACUCUUCUCAGAAAAGAGUUUGAGGGACAAGUACAGCUCAGCAUGCAUAUAUGGAGAAGGUAAUCUUAACAAUUCACAGGACGUUAAUGCUCCAUUGCUUGCUACUGCUGCAAAGUUCAUAGCAUGGAGUUUGAACCCUACUGGUGGAUCCUACUUGGAACUUUUAGUUGAUAAUCUGACCAAAUUUUCCAAUAUAUGGACUAUUAGGAAGUUUGGCUCUGAUGAAGGCAAUGAGACAACUCUUUGUCGUAACAAGGAAGUCAGGGGAUCUCUAUCCUUUAAGAAGGAAAUGGUGAAUAUCCUGGAUUCCAAUUGCCAAGCACUUGCUUUCUGGAUUAAAGAAUUUCAGGACAUGUACAAUGGGCACUCAAACAAAGUAAAUGAAAGCCUUGCUCUAGAUAAAGAACGAACACCAGGUGUUAGUGUACAAAAGAACAUGUUGUUUAGGAGGAUACCAAUAGGCAUCUUGUUCGGAUGCUUGAAUCAUAUAAAUGAUGCUGAAUGUGAACUGCUUUUGCAUUAUGGUGCAACUGGUACCCUCAUGCAAUUAACUGGAGCACAACCUGGAAUGAAGGAUAAGAAAUCUAACCAUGAACGGCAAAAAGGUUUGAUUGCAUGGGCUGAGACAUACACAGGAAAAGAGGCUACAGCAGGAGCUCGUAUUGUCUUUGACAUAACUGAUGCAAGUGAAAGUAUAUCAGCUUCUAUGUUUGAAACUGAGGAAUGUGGACUCAAUUUUGUGUGUGACGUGAAACUAAAGGUUGGGAAAUAUCUAGUCAAGUGUGUGAAAAGGCUACUCCAACUCACACUAGAGAAAAACAGCAUACAGCUGAACAUGAAGGAUCUCUAUGACAGAAUGAUCAGGUGGAGAAAUCAAGGGCGCGAUGUUUUUCAAAAUUAUAGGGAAUUGGUUGAUAUAAUAGAUGCCUGUGCUUCAGCAGCUUUUGAAGACCCUGUACAACAGCAAUCAAAUGUGCAAAACUGAAAAGGCAUGGGCCUUAGGAAGUUGUUUUGGUGGCAUGGUUCUGCUUUGUAAAAGUAUUUUCCUCAAAGCAAGGUUACUCUUCUAACUAAAACAACAGUGACUGGGCUACGUCCCUCAGCGAAAUCAACAGAAGCUGAGAGUUCUAUUAACAAAAUUCUGACAGAGACAACCAUGAGCCGUGGUGUGAUUUUUGCAAAAAAUACGGGCACACUCGUAAUACUUUCUGGAACCGCCAGCUGGAACAAAAAGAUUGCAGACAACCAUGGCCAGGCCUUUCAAUGUACCAACAAAGAACUAAGGCGUCAAUCUUCUCUAGGAAUGCGACCUUCACUAAGGAAUAAGUAGAGCUACUGCACAAAUUUCUCCAAGUUCUCCCGCCUCAACUCCAAACUAGUAAAUCUGAUCCUUCUACUCCGACUUGUUCUUUUUCCCAAACAGGAAAUAGAAAAAUCAAAGUUGCUAAUGGUUCCUUCUCAACAAUUGCUGGAAAAGGGACAAGGUCUCGAGGAGAACGAUUGACAAUGCUAUAGAGAGUUUGAAGGUCUCUAUUUUCUUGAAACCGGGGACAGUUUAGUAAAUUUUAAUUCAGCUUAUUUGAACUCUAUUCAAGUUGAUAAAUAGUCAUGUUAUGACGAUAUAGACUUGGUCGUCCUAUUUUUAA